rnacentral:sRNA from 1 species
CCCCAAAUUCUGGCAUGGGCGGAUGGGUGGGCCAGGACUUUACACUCUUAAAGUAUAAGUAAGGGGUAACUCAGCCGUACGGGUGAAGAUUGUACGGAGCCUCGUGAAUCUGAAUCCAAGAUGCUAAAGGGGAUACCGCGAUCUGAGGGGUCAUGGGGGUUAGCCUGAAGAACAGAACACUCAUUAAGUAUGUGGUGACGCAGGUCCCGACAACCCAAAAAGGUGAGCUGAACCUGAUCCAAUUGGAGCAGUACAGGUAAAGUUAUAUCCUUUCUAUAAAUUGAAAGGUAGUUUGGACAGAUACAUGUCAUUCAAUUGGUGUGGAACGUUAGUCCAAAUGAACCAUUUAUGCUUGGAUGGAAAGUCAAGCAAACGUUGUCAAUGUGUACGUGAAAUUGUCAAAAAACCUCAGCAAUUUCUAUACCCUCUUUGUGCUGAGUAUUGUAGAGGGUGAAGGUGUGU